UUUUGCUCCAGCCUACACGGAAACCCAUUACACUCCAAGUGGCAGCCCUCAGACCACCAGGCUGAAAUCUGAGGACCACUGCUUUUACCACGGGACGGUGAGGAAGGCCGAGCAGUCCAGUGUGACACUCAGCACGUGCCGGGGAAUGAGGAAUUGGCUAAUCCUGAGAAGGGCAAGGCCCCAGCUAUCAAAGCAUCAUCAUAAUA